rnacentral:rRNA from 1 species
GACGAACGCUGGCGGCGUGCUUAACACAUGCAAGUCGAACGGAAAGGCCCUGCUUUUGUGGGGUGCUCGAGUGGCGAACGGGUGAGUAACACGUGAGUAACCUGCCCUUGACUUUGGGAUAACUUCAGGAAACUGGGGCUAAUACCGGAUAGGAGCUCCUGCUGCAUGGUGGGGGUUGGAAAGUUUCGGCGGUUGGGGAUGGACUCGCGGCUUAUCAGCUUGUUGGUGGGGUAGUGGCUUACCAAGGCUUUGACGGGUAGCCGGCCUGAGAGGGUGACCGGCCACAUUGGGACUGAGAUACGGCCCAGACUCCUACGGGAGGCAGCAGUGGGGAAUAUUGCACAAUGGGCGGAAGCCUGAUGCAGCAACGCCGCGUGCGGGAUGACGGCCUUCGGGUUGUAAACCGCUUUCGCCUGUGACGAAGCGUGAGUGACGGUAAUGGGUAAAGAAGCACCGGCUAACUACGUGCCAGCAGCCGCGGUGAUACGUAGGGUGCGAGCGUUGUCCGGAUUUAUUGGGCGUAAAGGGCUCGUAGGUGGUUGAUCGCGUCGGAAGUGUAAUCUUGGGGCUUAACCCUGAGCGUGCUUUCGAUACGGGUUGACUUGAGGAAGGUAGGGGAGAAUGGAAUUCCUGGUGGAGCGGUGGAAUGCGCAGAUAUCAGGAGGAACACCAGUGGCGAAGGCGGUUCUCUGGGCCUUUCCUGACGCUGAGGAGCGAAAGCGUGGGGAGCGAACAGGCUUAGACACCCUGGUAGUCCACGCUGUAAACGGUGGGUACUAGGUGUGGGGUCCGUUCCACGGGUUCCGUGCCGUAGCUAACGCUUUAAGUACCCCGCCUGGGGAGUACGGCCGCAAGGCUAAAACUCAAAGGAAUUGACGGGGCCCCGCACAAGCGGCGGAGCAUGCGGAUUAAUUCGAUGCAACGCGUAGAACCUUACCUGGGUUUGACAUGGAUCGGGAGUGCUCAGAGAUGGGUGUGCCUCUUUUGGGGUCGGUUCACAGGUGGUGCAUGCCUGUCGUCAGCUCGUGUCGUGAGAUGUUGGGUUAAGUCCCGCAACGAGCGCAACCCUUGUUCACUGUUGCCAGCACGUUAUGGUGGGGACUCAGUGGAGACCGCCGGGGUCAACUCGGAGGAAGGUGGGGAUGACGUCAAGUCCUCAUGCCCCUUAUGUCCAGGGCUUCACGCAUGCUACAAUGGCUGGUACAGAGAGUGGCGAGCCUGUGAGGGUGAGCGAAUCUCGGAAAGCCGGUCUCAGUUCGGAUUGGGGUCUGCAACUCGACCUCAUGAAGUCGGAGUCGCUAGUAAUCGCAGAUCAGCAACGCUGCGGUGAAUACGUUCCCGGGGCU